ensembl:lncRNA
GUGAUCCAGCAGAGCACGUCGCUUCAACCUUACGACACUUCACGACGCGCCUCACACUCACGGGGCCGCACAAAAAGGAGUGCUCUGACGUCCUCUGUUGGCUACAUUGCUGAAUUGAACUGUCCACUCGAUAUCCUCUUGUUCAUCAUAGGCCUGUUCCUGCUUCAUAGACACUAGGCUAUUACUACAUGGCAACCGGUGGAUAAACUUGGCCGCUCUUGAAUUGUUCUGCAAUGUGUCGGCCUAUCCAGUAAGGAGGAAUUUCCCUCUUAGCCACAGCUUCGCUGGAACGGAGGCAAGCUGAUUGCCUCAGUGUCCUACAGAGCCUCUGCACCCCGGCACUAACUGGAGCUCCAUGUGGUACAUCCAUUAUGGUAAAGCUCUCUGUGGCUCCCCGCUGAACACCUCCCUCCUCCUCCUCCUCCCUUUCCAAACCAUGCUUACGUCUGUGUUCCAGAAUUGGGCCCCCUUCCAAUCUGAACAUUAGUUGGAUUCGGUUUGAUGUGAUGGGCUGGGUUGGCGAUGUAUUUGUACUCCUGCAGGGGAGCACAGCAAACAAGGAGGAAUCUUUACCUCGGAUCAACGGCAGGGUCUCUGCACGGAGCCACUUCCAGGUGCCGUCUGGCCAUCCCCAUUGGCCUGACCGGGUCCACCUCUGAGGCUUUUCCCUGUGCGAGAGUUGUCUAGUACAGACAUAUGAACAUUUGGUCGGCAACUCCCAGCUUCCAGUUCAAUACUCGUGUGUUUAUGCCUGACAUUAAUUAGCUUUCUCCCUCUCCAUAAUUAAAUAAUCCUCAUGAAUGGGUAAUUGGAGCCCUCUGCAUGUACAGAGUCUUGUUCAUGCACAAGGACAGGAUGUAAAAUCAUUUCAACAGCAGAAAAAUCAAUAGCAUAAACAGCUGGGCCAACACACGUAUUACAAGGAAUUCUACUAUUUUAUAGUUUUAAGUCAACCCAUACAGGAAAACCGCUAUUUUUAGCACCAAUGUACGGUGCUAUUUCAUUUGACUUUGUCCUUGUUCUUCUUUCUCUCUGCAAAUAGAAGGGGCUUUGCCGCCAAAUCCUUGUAUGGUGCCAAAUCCAGAGGAAUGCAUUCCAUUGUUUAUCUAUGACUUGGGAAAACUAUAUUCUUUUGUUUACAGUAACGUGGUUUGGCUCCAUGCAAAUGCUGACUGUGCUUUUUAAAUGCUGCCAAAUGUUUUAGCGUCUCUCUCUCUCUCGUUCUCUCGCUGUGUGUGUGUGUGUGUGUGUGUGUGUGUGUGUUUGUGUGUGUGUGUGUGUGCGCGCAUCAUGCUUUUCUGUCCAUCUAUUAAUCAGAAUGAAAAGAGAGAGGGCUGACAUAACGAGUUGAAAUAGCAAAGAAAUUAAUAAUUCAGACAUUGAUGACAACAUUAUGUUUAUGGACAUGCCAAUGUGGCAAUGCACAUAGACAGACAGCAGACGGAACUGAGAAAUUUGAGAAAUGUGAAGGGUGGACAUACAUUUUGCAAACAUCUCGGUUAAUUUUGCAUGAACUAAUAGAAAAUGUGGAGGCAUUUAAAUAUUUGAUCACACGGCCAUAUGGAUAGGCUCACUGGGUACGCUCAAUGGGGUUAGCCCACAGUGCACAACCCAGAUAAUCCCAGCUCUCCUCCUCUCCAUAGGGCGCCAUGCACAGCGCACCAGCACAGCCCAACUACCCAUCAGCUCCUCCACCCCCCUGUGAGGGCCCAUUGUGUGCCAAAAGAUUUCCCACACAUCUGAACUCCUGAGAAUCAGCGUUGAGGAGGGACACGGCCAUGGUGACCUCGAUCCCAAAACUCCGUCACAGCUGAUACGAGCGGAACGAGAGGGUUGUCAAACCAGUCAUUUAUGUCAACACUGGAGGGCUAGCUCGGUUCACAGAUAUACACUACUCUUUUGACCAGGUUAUCACAGAAACAUGUUAACCGGGGAGGUAGACACAAACACAAGCAUGUUUUUUUUAUAUCAUUCAAAUAUAUUCACACAAGUGCAUUCAACCACUCCUCACAUCAAUUUCUUGUCUUUUUUAUUUAAUGAAUUAUCUGCUACGUUUGUCCCACCCACUCAGCAUGGAUAAACCUGUGCAUUCCUCAUCCUUCGGAUUUGGAGCGCUAACGAGGCCUAUUUGCCAGCGAGUGACGUUGAGUUGAUCCCUAAAGCUCUCUGCUUGGCACCAAACAUGCCCAAAUGAAGCCCAUGUCAUGCCCACCCCCGCCCUUGCCCCUCUCCUCCCCCUGCCAUGGGAACCAUACAUCUUUAAUGACGACGGAGGGCUUUGCACGCUCUGUGCCACACAAAAGCUGUGGCAUCUGUCUCACUAAGUACUGCACUCAAGAGCACAACCCCCCCUUCCCCCACCCCAACCCAAACCUCC